GGGGCAACAAGCGGCCAGCCCAAGUUGGCAGAGCAGCAGAAAAAUAGCAGAGUGAGAACAGUGUCCUGCUUGAGGCUCUGAGCAGGCCAGCAUAUGUCACCAAGGACACUUUGUUCUUUGGCAAGCUUCCGGAAGUUCAAACUCCCCCAGAGGUUGGCAACUGCCUUGAGUAAGCAGCAGUUGUGGAGAGUUCUCCGUGAGCCAAGCACUUGUUCACACUACACAGGGGAGCUCACUGCAUCUUGCUGUCACCCCAGUUGUCCAGAUGGCGAAACAGGCACAGCGCGGCGACAUCAGUGAGUGGAGGCGGCAGGCUGUCUGGUGCGGAGCAUGUACCCUUCCUGCCUCAACCCUGCUCUGCUGCCUGUGUUUCUACAGAGCUGUUCCCUCUGAGCCCUGGGGUCCAGGACAGACACAGCUGCGGAGCACUCACUCUGCCACAUCAAUGGAUGAGCUUCGGCAGCAAAGAAGAAACCCGGGCUCACCCCGAGCUCCACAGCCACCCAAAGGGUGUGCCAGGCCUUCCCACUCACCUCAUCACUGUCCUGAAUGACAAGACCCACUGCCAGGCUGGCUUGUCUGCCUAUUUAUAGUCCACAAAGGCUGGCAUGUUGUGGAAGGAUUGGAAAAUGUCCUAGCUGUGACUGUGAGGCAGGGGGAAGGGCAGGAGAGGUGGGAAACAAAGAGGCGGAGAGAACAAACGAAGCUCUGUCAACCAGGAGGCGACGCAGAGCCAGGGAGCUUCGAACUCUGUGCCUGUGGCCGGUGGUGCAAACACUUCCGUUGUGUUGGUGUUCUUAGGUUAUAAGUGACAGAAAUAAAAUUGUUGGAUUAGGCCAA